rnacentral:rRNA from 1 species
UACGUAGGGUGCAAGCGUUAAUCGGAAUUACUGGGCGUAAAGCGUGCGCAGGCGGUUUUGUAAGGCUGUCGUGAAAGCCCCGGGCUCAACCUGGGAAUUGCGAUGGAGACUGCAAGGCUUGAAUCUGGCAGAGGGGGGUAGAAUUCCACGUGUAGCAGUGAAAUGUGUAGAGAUCGGGAGGAACACCGGUGGCGAAGGCGGGUCUCUGGGCAAUUCCUGACGCUGAGGCGCGAAAGCGUGGGGAGCAAACGGG